rnacentral:rRNA from 1 species
GACGAAGGUGGCAAGCGUUGUUCGGAAUCACUGGGCAUAAAGAGCACGUAGGCGGCUAAGUUAGUCGGAUGUGAAAUACCUCGGCUCAACCGAGGAACUGCGUCCGAUACUGCUUGGCUUGAGGUCCGGAGGGGAGAGUGGAAUUCCCGGUGUAGCAGUGAAAUGCGUAGAUAUCGGGAGGAACAUCUGUGGCGAAGGCGACACCCUGGACCAGCACUGACACUGAGGCACGAAAGCGUGGGGAGCAAACAGG